rnacentral:tRNA from 1 species
UCCGAAUUGGUGUAGUGGCUAACAUUUGACGCUCUCAAGUAAUCAGUAGUGAUUAGAUGGUACCGUCAAGCCCGGGGUUCGAUUCCCCGAUUCGGAG